AAUUCGGAGAAGCUCACCUUUCUGAUGGAGAUGGACGGGAUGUCGAUGUAGCGCGAGAUGGGUCUGUACCACGUAUUGCAGUUGCUGUGCAUAUUGUGAAAAUACACGCGAUCGGGAUAGGUUUUAGAGUGACAUUGAAUCCAGCCAUGAUGAUCGACCAAGUCACCGAAUUCGUGCACGAGAUACGACGUCGUGUCGUCGCGAUUGUCAUCGAUUAUCGUUCGCUUCGGCGACCAGGUGUCCACGCUUUCCUCGCUGUUGAAAUCGGUCGACUCGGAAUACAUUACGUCGGGAGAAUCGCGGAAUAAUCACGCGACACUGUGCGAAACGCAAAUCGCAACGAAAAUAAACACACACACACACGUGUCGAUUCGCACCAAAACAUCGAUAAUCGACAUCUAGCGGUAUCACCAUGCGUUAAGACUGAUUACGCGGUCACGUGAUAAAGGAUUCGGCAACGUAGAUCCAGACAGAGGGCACCCUGGGGUGCCAAUUUCUAGUGUCCCUUGAAUUAUCUAAUACGCAUUACCAAUUUCACGCAUUAUACGUCAAACUUUAGUGCGUUGAUUGGCUGCAAAGCUCGAGAAGUUUUCUGUAUUGCAGCCAAUCAACGCGCAGUAAAAAAGUUUGUCGCGCGUGUGAAAUUGCACCCUCCGAAUUUCAAAUAGAUCUCGUAUUCGCGCGCGAUGUAACAAGUAUUGGUUCGUCGCGAAAUUUUACUCGGGUGUCUUUCGUGAAUGCAAGAGGCGACCAACGAUGGAAUCACGGCGAUCCUUUCUUCGAAACAGGAAGAGAAGACUUCUGUGCAUUCGAGUGAAAAAGAUAGAGAAGAUCGAGAUAUUUGCCGAAGAAUCGGAUAGAAGUAUGGGAAAUAAACUGGGAACAAGAAAAUUGAUUCGAUCGAUUUUUCUGUCUAUUUUGGCAUCGCUACAAGAUCGACAUACGUAUAAAGUUAUUCGACGGGAAUCGCUUCUUGAGGAAUCGCGCGGUGAGCAUCCAGACCAGCCAACAGGUUGCAUUUCGAUACGCAGUGCGAUUCACGCGUCGUGUCGGGAGUGCCGUGUAAAGUUUCGCGCGUCGGGAGUGCCGUGUAAAGUGUCGGGCGAUCGUAAUUAUUCGUGUUUUCGCGAGGGAGUGCUAUAUAUGUGAAGGAUCAAGAGAGGAGGAGGCCCGGGUGGCAUCGGGCGACAGCGGGGCAACUAUGAGAUCAAUGUGCUGCGUACUACAACUCUACCAUAUAUACUAUUGCACGUAUCGGUGAGUGAGAGAAAUUGUUCAUAACAUUUACUAUAGCAGUAAUGGGGGUACGUGAAGCGUUUCAUUU